rnacentral:lncRNA from 1 species
ACUGGGUGACUCAUAGGAAAAUAAAAGGAUACAGUGCCCAGAAUCCAGCUGUCACCUCUCCUGACAUUUAAACAACUCUCCAGUUCCUCAGACCCCUAAACUCCUCCAAGAACGCAAAAGAUUCAAUUUUUUCAUCACAGUACAUGCAUACAGUGGGCAAAAAGCAAAGCUUGGUAAUCACCUUGGCAUUGCCUAGCUCUGUGAUGCUGAAGACAUUCUCAUUUCUAUGCAUUACAGAAGAGAUUCAGACUUCCAGAGUUUGUAAGCUUUGGAAGAUGCUAGUUGAGCAUUCUGCACUAUGGAGACAUGUACCUGACACCUUACAGGGAAACUCCCAGUCACCAAACUCCCCCGAUUCCCGACAUAUCUGA